GCAGGGGUGGCAGAGCCUGGUCAAAUGCGCAGGACUUAAGAUCCUGUGGCGUAGUGCCUACGUGGGUUCGAAUCCCACCCCCUGCA
rnacentral:tRNA from 1 species